GAUGAACGCUAGCGGCAGGCCUAAUACAUGCAAGUCGGACGGGAUUCAGGAGCUUGCUUCUGAUGAGAGUGGCGCACGGGUGCGUAACACGUAUGUAACCUACCUUUAUCAGGGGGAUAGCCUCUCGAAAGAGAGAUUAAGCCCGCAUAAAAUCACAGCACAGCAUUGUGUAAUGAUCAAAUAUUUAUAGGAUAAAGAUGGGCAUGCGGAACAUUAGCUAGAUGGCGGGGUAACGGCCCACCAUGCGACGAUGUUUAGGGGAUCUGAGAGGAUGGCCCCCCACACUGGUACUGAGACACGGACCAGACUCCUACGGGAGGCAGCAGUAAGGAAUAUUGGUCAAUGGGCGGAAGCCUGAACCAGCCAUGCCGCGUGCAGGAAGACGGCCCUACGGGUUGUAAACUGCUUCUAUACGGGAAUAAACCCAGAUACGUGUAUCUGGCUGAAUGUACUGUAAGAAUAAGGAGCGGCUAACUCCGUG
rnacentral:rRNA from 1 species